ACUCCUACGGGAGGCAGCAGUAAGGAAUAUUGGUCAAUGGAGGGAACUCUGAACCAGCCAUGCCGCGUGCAGGAUGACUGCCCUAUGGGUUGUAAACUGCUUUUGUCAGGGAAUAAACCUUUCCACGUGUGGGAAGCUGAAUGUACCUGAAGAAUAAGGAUCGGCUAACUACGUGCCAGCAGCCGCGGUAAU
rnacentral:rRNA from 1 species